rnacentral:tRNA from 1 species
GCGGUGGUUGGUCCUGUAGCUCAGUGGUUAGAGCGAUGGGGCUGAGAAGGUGAAAUCGAAAUCCACUAGGCUCAGCCUGCGCAGGUUCGAUUCCUGCUGCCGUCGCU